rnacentral:misc_RNA from 1 species
CGCACCUUGCGCUCCUUGGUAUUCCGAGGAGCAUGCCUGUUUGAGUGUCGUGAAAUCAUCAACCUAUAAGCCUUUGUGGUUUACGGGCUUGGACUUGGAGGCUUGCUGGCCCUAGUGGUUCGGCUCCUCUCAAAUGCAUUAGCUUGAUUCCUUGCGGAUCGGCUCUCGGUGUGAUAAUUGUCUACGCCGUGACCGUGAAGCGUUUGGCAGGCUUCUAACCGUCUCUUCUGAGACAGCUUAUGACCUCUGACCUCAAAUCAGGUAGGACUACCCGCUGAACUUAA